rnacentral:rRNA from 1 species
UACGCAGGGUGCAAGCGUUACUCGGAAUUACUGGGCGUAAAGGGUGCGUAGGCGGUUGUUUAAGUCUGUCGUGAAAUCCCCGGGCUCAACCUGGGAAUGGCGAUGGAUACUGGACAGCUAGAGUGUGUCAGAGGAUGGUGGAAUUCCCGGUGUAGCGGUGAAAUGCGUAGAGAUCGGGAGGAACAGCAGUGGCGAAGGCGGCCAUCUGGGACAACACUGACGCUGAAGCACGAAAGCGUGGGGAGCAAACAGG